UUGGGACCCUCUAACUAGAAUGGCUGGAGGGAAGACCUGCAAUAUAAUGUUGAAUAAGGAAGGUGAAAACGAACAUCAUUGCAUCACUCCUGAUAUCAAAGGUGACAAAACUGAGGCUCAGAGGCCAAUGGCCUUGUUCAAGGUCACACGCCCACUAAAUGAGAGACCCGGAGACCUGGCAUCACACGUACCAAAAAUUAAAAGCAAAGAUGCUUAAAUCAACUGCAGUCCUUCUGGGCAGAUGUUCCUAAAUGCAAUCCAUCUAAGAGGAAAGAGUUUUUGAGGGAAGGGUGAUCACUGGGCCUCUACAUGCCACACCCGGAAGGCCCAGCAGUGGGGCAAGGAUAGAACACACAGUUUGGCGAUGUGACCCUGCCUGUCUGCACACCUCAGGAUCCCACCACCCAACAGGCAUACAUCUCCUGGAGCUACAGAGAUGCCAAAUGCCAGAGAAGGGAAGCAGGAAGGGAGAUGAAGACAAGGAACUCUGAAAAAUGGAAGCAGAAACACAGGCUGUAUUUUCCCCUAUCCUUCUUUUCUUUGUUCCCUUUUUUCUCUUUUGAAUGAAAAAUAAAAAUGCAGAAAACCUCAGGA
rnacentral:lncRNA from 1 species